CCUCUGGGUCUCAGAGCAAACAAGGAUGCUGAGUUAGAUUUCUCUCUGAUGCAAACCCUGAAUGAUAUUGCUUUUCAUUUAGGGAAUCCUCACCAGACUGGGAAGGCAAGGAGAAGCACACCCUGACUGUGGCCCACACCCAUGGGAGCUGUUGUUCAUGACAGCACUUUGGCUCUUUCCACCAUCCGUUUGAGAGCAUUCAGUUUCCUCGACCCACAGAUGAUGGUGUCAGGACACAGGAAGGGGCUGGAGGAAGGGAGGAGGACUGAACCUGGGGACUUCUGCCAUCUUCCCCUGAAGACCAGGCCAUUCCUAACAUCCAGUUCCCUGGUAGCUCAGCUGAUAAAGAAUCUGCCUACAAUGCAGGAGACCUGAGUUGGAUCCCUGGGUUGGGAAGAUUGCCUGGCGGAGGGCAUGGCAACCCACUCCAAUAUUCUUGUCUGGAGAAUCCCCAGGGACAGAGGAGCCUGACAGGCUACAUACAGUUCAUGGAGUUGAAAAGAGUCGGACACAACUGAGUGGCUAAGUACAUACAGUCCUUGUACGUCUGUUAUGGGCCGUAUGGAACUGUGGGCUUUCUUCCACACCACACCGCCACUGCAGGGAGUCCCGUUUGGUGGUCUUUCAGAGAGAUCUCAACCUACCAGCAUUUUGCCACCAUUUCCACUACCCUGUGGUUAUUUCAUGUUAUUGUGGAGCUAAGAUGCUUGAUAACUCCCUGACCUACUGUUUUCUGGAGAACACUGGAUUCUCCCAAAUUUGUCUGCUCACGCCUAGUCCUUCCUAUACCCAUUGGCUUUGGGAUCUGUAUGUCUGCCCCAGGGUAGGGGUGGAGGGGACCUCCCACAUUCACAGCUGACCUCUUACCCUUUACCUCACAUUCCCAUCUGACCUCCUGACCUCACCACUUCUUUCCUUUAUCUUUUUGUCUAACCCAAAGUGCCUGUCCGUCCUAUCCUGCCUCUCUACACUGGCUUUUAGCAAAGCUUUUCCUCUAAUACUUUGAAAAGAGUUCUGAGAAACUUGAACAUUUUUAGCUUGAUACCUAAAUUCCUUUUAUUGUAAGUUUAAUAAUAGCAAAAGGUGUAAUCUCUGGUGUACUUUACUUACAUACUCUAAAUGUACCUUUAUGUCAAA
rnacentral:lncRNA from 1 species